UACGUAGGGCGCGAGCGUUGUCCGGAUUUAUUGGGCGUAAAGAGCUCGUAGGCGGCUUGUCGCGUCGUUCGUGAAAACUCACAGCUCAACUGUGAGCUUGCGGUCGAUACGGGCAGGCUAGAGUUCGGUAGGGGAGACUGGAAUUCCUGGUGUAGCGGUGAAAUGCGCAGAUAUCAGGAGGAACACCGGUGGCGAAGGCGGGUCUCUGGGCCGAUACUGACGCUGAGGAGCGAAAGCGUGGGGAGCGAACAGG
rnacentral:rRNA from 1 species